UGGUUGAGAGGAUCGCCCUCUGCGGUCCGCCAAGGCAUUCGUCCUUGCUCGGCCA
rnacentral:ncRNA from 1 species